UUGCCUGGCGGCUGUAGCGCGGUGGUCCCACCUGACCCCAUGCCGAACUCAGAAGUGAAACGCCGUAGCGCCGAUGGUAGUGUGGGGUCUCCCCAUGCGAGAGUAGGGAACUGCCAGGCAUCAAAUNCACACUAUCAUUACGUGAAUACAUAGCGUAAUGAAGCGAACCGGGGGAACUGAAACAUCUAAGUACCCCGAGGAAAAGAAAUCAACCGAGAUUCCCCCAGUAGCGGCGAGCGAACGGGGAGCAGCCCAGAGUCUGAAUCAGCUUGUGUGUUAGUGGAACGGUCUGGAAAGUCCGACGGUACAGGGUGAUAGUCCCGUACACCAAAAUGCACAGGUUGUGAACUCGAAGAGUAGGGCGGGACACGUGGUAUCCUGUCUGAAUAUGGGGGGACCAUCCUCCAAGGCUAAAUACUCCUGACUGACCGAUAGUGAACCAGUACCGUGAGGGAAAGGCGAAAAGAACCCCGGCGAGGGGAGUGAAAAAGAACCUGAAACCGUGUACGUACAAGCAGUGGGAGCCUACUUGUUAGGUGACUGCGUACCUUUUGUAUAAUGGGUCAGCGACUUAUAUUCUGUAGCAAGGUUAACCGUAUAGGGGAGCCGAAGGGAAACCGAGUCUUAACUGGGCGUUAAGUUGCAGGGUAUAGACCCGAAACCCGGUGAUCUAGCCAUGGGCAGGUUGAAGGUUGGGUAACACUAACUGGAGGACCGAACCGACUAAUGUUGAAAAAUUAGCGGAUGACUUGUGGCUGGGGGUGAAAGGCCAAUCAAACCGGGAGAUAGCUGGUUCUCCCCGAAAGCUAUUUAGGUAGCGCCUCGUGAAUUCAUCUUCGGGGGUAGAGCACUGUUUCGGCUAGGGGGUCAUCCCGACUUACCAACCCGAUGCAAACUGCGAAUACCGAAGAAUGUUAUCACGGGAGACACACGGCGGGUGCUAACGUCCGUCGUGAAGAGGGAAACAACCCAGACCGCCAGCUAAGGUCCCAAAGUCAUGGUUAAGUGGGAAACGAUGUGGGAAGGCACAGACAGCCAGGAUGUUGGCUUAGAAGCAGCCAUCAUUUAAAGAAAGCGUAAUAGCUCACUGGUCGAGUCGGCCUGCGCGGAAGAUGUAACGGGGCUAAACCAUGCACCGAAGCUGCGGCAGCGACACUAUGUGUUGUUGGGUAGGGGAGCGUUCUGUAAGCCGUUGAAGGUGUAUCGUGAGGUAUGCUGGAGGUAUCAGAAGUGCGAAUGCUGACAUAAGUAACGAUAAUGCGGGUGAAAAACCCGCACGCCGGAAGACCAAGGGUUCCUGUCCAACGUUAAUCGGGGCAGGGUGAGUCGACCCCUAAGGCGAGGCCGAAAGGCGUAGUCGAUGGGAAACAGGUUAAUAUUCCUGUACUUGGUGUUACUGCGAAGGGGGGACGGAGAAGGCUAUGUUAGCCGGGCGACGGUUGUCCCGGUUUAAGCAUGUAGGCGGAGGUUCCAGGUAAAUCCGGUACCUUUUAACGCUGAGGUGUGAUGACGAGGCACUACGGUGCUGAAGUAACAAAUGCCCUGCUUCCAGGAAAAGCCUCUAAGCAUCAGGUAACACGAAAUCGUACCCCAAACCGACACAGGUGGUCAGGUAGAGAAUACCAAGGCGCUUGAGAGAACUCGGGUGAAGGAACUAGGCAAAAUGGUGCCGUAACUUCGGGAGAAGGCACGCUGAUAUGUAGGUGAAGUGAUUUACUCAUGGAGCUGAAAUCAGUCGAAGAUACCAGCUGGCUGCAACUGUUUAUUAAAAACACAGCACUGUGCAAACACGAAAGUGGACGUAUACGGUGUGACGCCUGCCCGGUGCCGGAAGGUUAAUUGAUGGGGUUAUCCGUAAGGAGAAGCUCUUGAUCGAAGCCCCGGUAAACGGCGGCCGUAACUAUAACGGUCCUAAGGUAGCGAAAUUCCUUGUCGGGUAAGUUCCGACCUGCACGAAUGGCGUAAUGAUGGCCAGGCUGUCUCCACCCGAGACUCAGUGAAAUUGAACUCGCUGUGAAGAUGCAGUGUACCCGCGGCAAGACGGAAAGACCCCGUGAACCUUUACUAUAGCUUGACACUGAACACUGGUCCUUGAUGUGUAGGAUAGGUGGGAGGCUUUGAAGUGUGGACGCCAGUCUGCAUGGAGCCAUCCUUGAAAUACCACCCUUUAAUGGCUGGUGUUCUAACGUGGACCCGUAAUCCGGGUUGCGGACAGUGUCUGGUGGGUAGUUUGACUGGGGCGGUCUCCUCCUAAAGAGUAACGGAGGAGCACGAAGGUUAGCUAAUCCUGGUCGGACAUCAGGAGGUUAGUGCAAAGGCAUAAGCUAGCUUGACUGCGAGAGUGACGGCUCGAGCAGGUGCGAAAGCAGGUCUUAGUGAUCCGGUGGUUCUGAAUGGAAGGGCCAUCGCUCAACGGAUAAAAGGUACUCCGGGGAUAACAGGCUGAUACCGCCCAAGAGUUCAUAUCGACGGCGGUGUUUGGCACCUCGAUGUCGGCUCAUCACAUCCUGGGGCUGAAGUAGGUCCCAAGGGUAUGGCUGUUCGCCAUUUAAAGUGGUACGCGAGCUGGGUUUAGAACGUCGUGAGACAGUUCGGUCCCUAUCUGCCGUGGGCGCUGGAGAAUUGAGGGGGGCUGCUCCUAGUACGAGAGGACCGGAGUGGACGCAUCACUGGUGUUCGGGUUGUCAUGCCAAUGGCAUUGCCCGGUAGCUAAAUGCGGAAGAGAUAAGUGCUGAAAGCAUCUAAGCACGAAACUUGCCCCGAGAUGAGUUCUCCCUGAGACUAUAAGUCUCCUGAAGGAACGUUGAAGACGACGACGUUGAUAGGUCGGGUGUGUAAGUGUAGCGAUACAUUGAGCUAACCGAUACUAAUGAACCGUGAGGCUUAACCUU
rnacentral:rRNA from 1 species